UUGGUGCCUUCGGGAACUCUGAGACAGGUGCUGCAUGGCUGUCGUCAGCUCGUGUUGUGAAAUGUUGGGUUAAGUCCCGCAACGAGCGCAACCCUUAUCCUUGUUUGCCAGCACUUCGGGUGGGAACUCCAGGGAGACUGCCGGUGAUAAACCGGAGGAAGGUGGGGACGACGUCAAGUCAUCAUGGCCCUUACGAGUAGGGCUACACACGUGCUACAAUGGCGUAUACAGAGGGCUGCCAACUCGCGAGAGUGAGCGAAUCCCAGAAAGUACGUCGUAGUCCGGAUUGGAGUCUGCAACUCGACUCCAUGAAGUCGGAAUCGCUAGUAAUCGUG
rnacentral:rRNA from 1 species